rnacentral:tRNA from 18 species
UGGGGCGUGGCCAAGUGGUAAGGCAACGGGUUUUGGUCCCGCUAUUCGGAGGUUCGAGUCCUUCCGUCCCAG